rnacentral:tRNA from 1 species
AGGAUUAUAAUUUAAUAAAAAUAUUUAAUUUGCAAUUAAAAAUUAUUGAUCUUCAAUUUAUCUUA